rnacentral:rRNA from 1 species
UGUAGGCGGGUUAUCAAGUCAGAUGUGAAAUUCCAUGGCUCAACUGUGGCGCUGCAUCUGAAACUGAUGAUCUUGAGUGAUGGAGAGGAAAGCGGAAUUCCUAGUGUAGCGGUGAAAUGCGUAGAUAUUAGGAGGAACACCAGUGGCGAAGGCGGCUUUCUGGACAUUAACUGACGCUGAGGCGCGAAAGCGUGGGGAGCAAACAGGAUUAGAUACCCUGGUAGUCCACGCUGUAAACGAUGGAUACUAGGUGUAGGAGGUAUCGACCCCUUCUGUGCCGGAGUUAACACAAUAAGUAUCCCACCUGGGGAGUACGGCCGCAAGGUUGAA